rnacentral:rRNA from 1 species
AGCAGUAGCCGCGGUAAUACAGAGGGUGCGAGCGUUAAUCGGAUUUACUGGGCGUAAAGCGUGCGUAGGCGGCUUCUUAAGUCGGAUGUGAAAUCCCUGAGCUUAACUUAGGAAUUGCAUUCGAUACUGGGAAGCUAGAGUAUGGGAGAGGAUGGUAGAAUUCCAGGUGUAGCGGUGAAAUGCGUAGAGAUCUGGAGGAAUACCGAUGGCGAAGGCAGCCAUCUGGCCUAAUACUGACGCUGAGGUACGAAAGCAUGGGGAGCAAACAGGAUUAGAUACCCGGGUAGUCUCUGUCUCUUAUAA